GGAAGUUCUUUCUUUUCAAAAACAUAGUCUGAGUGGCUGAGAGGGAGGAGAGAGUACAGGUGACAUUCAAGAUCAGGCUGCAUGUCUUUCAAUCUGAGACAUCCUGGCACAAGCAGAUAUGUCCAUGCUAUGAGGAGUUUGAACCUCUAUUGAGGAGCCUUGUCACUGUCUCCUUCAUGUCCUUGUUCCUCAGGCUGUAAAUGAAGGGGUUCAGCAUGGGGGUAACCACAGUAAACAUAAUGGUGGCUACUGUAUCCUGGGUGAAGGAGUCUGGAGGUCGUAUGUAGAUCCCCAGAACUGUCCCAUAGAACAAAAUGACCACGGUUAAGUGGGAGCUACACGUGGAAAAUGCCUUGUGCCUGCCCUUGGCAGAAGGUAUCUGAAAGACUGCCACAGCGAUUUGGACGUAAGAGAACACAAUGAGAAUGCAGGGGCCACAAAGAAGACCACAGCUCCCAGGAAGAGAAGUUGAUUGACUUGUUUGUCUGAACAGGUAAACUUCAUGAGCAGAUAAGCAUCACAGUAGAAGUGAGAGACCUCUGGAAUCGAGGAGCAGAAGGUCAGUCUGCUCGUGAGGAGUGUGUGCACCAGAGCUAUGAGCCCACAGCUUAUCCACACAACAGCUGCCAGCCCCACACAUAGCUGGGGUGUUAUGAUUGUGUGAUACUGUAGUGGGUAGCAGGUGGCCACGAAUCUGUCUAGUGCCAUGGCAGCAAGCAGAAAGGUGUCCACAUUUCCAAAGGAAAUUAGAAAGUACAUCUGAGUGAGGCAGUGGGCAUAAGAGAUGGUCUCUAUUCCAGACACGUGGCUAGCCAAGAGCCUGGGGAUGAUAUUGGUGGUGAAGCAGAUGUCAUCAAAGGAAAUGUUGGUGAGGAAGAAGUACAUGGGGGUGUGUAAGCGCGGGUCAGAGCUGAUGGCCAUGAAGAUGAGUGUGUUACCAGCCACCGUGACCAAGUACAUGCACAGGAAAGCCCAGAAGAGGAUUCGUUGCUGUUGUGGGUCAUUGGUGAUGCCAAGCAGGAGAAACCCGCUGACUCCAGUCUCAUUCUCUCCCGCCAUGGACAUAUUCCAGCGUUUCAGGCUCCUGGAGGGAACGGGGUCCAGUGUUGCCCAGUGUGGCCCUGAAAUUUCUACAUAGCAAAAGAUGCACCCUGAAUUACUGAACUUUGCCUCCACCUCCUGGUACUGAUGUAGCAGCCAUCACUGAAUUUGAAUUCUUAAAGAGUACCUUUUAGUUUCAUUCAGGUUCAAAGUGAAAUGGAAGAAAUGAGAAGUUGUUGUUCAGUUGCCCACUCAGGCAUUGAGAAGACUGCACAUGCAGUGGGCUGUUUUGUCCUUGUCAGACCACCAGAUAAUCAGGACCAGAUCCUCUCCUUCUAUAAUACUGAUAUGUACCAGAAUGCUCUAAAGAUCCAAGGAGAGGAGGAUGGGCAGGCUGCAGCUCUGUGGAGUUCUUGCCCAGCGUUUAUGGGGUCCUCCUUUGAUGCUUAGCGGGAUGACUGAGGCUGUAGCUCGGUGGAGCACUAGCCUAGCAUCCAUGAGGUUCUGGCUUGACCUGUGCACAGCACAAGGCUGGAGUGGUGGUGAACACUUGUGAUUCCAGCACUCUGGAGGUGAAGGCAAGAGGGUCAGAAAUCCAAGGUCCUCUUCAAUCACAUAAUUUGAGACAAGCCUGGAGGUAUAUGACAACCUGUCUCAAAAAGUGCAUUCAUAUAUGCACAUACAAACAGGUAGAAAGGCAUACAGGAAAGAAGGAAGGAAGUUAGAGGAGCAAGAGAGAAGGAAGAAGGAAGAAUAAGAAAGACAAUGAAGAGACAAUUGAGAUGUAUCAAACAUUUUUAAGAGUCUCAAAGUGUGGGCUGGAGAGAUGGCUCAGUGGUUAAGAGCACCAACUGCUCUUCCCAAGGUCCUGAGUUCAAAUCUCAGCAACCACAUGGUGGCUCACAACCAUCUGUAAUGAGAUCUGAUGCCCUCUUCUGCUGUGUCUGAAGACAGCUACAGUG
ensembl:lncRNA